AUCAAUGUAUGCACUGAUAUGAGCAAGAUUUCACAACUGCAAAUUAAUUGUAAUCUUUGGAUAGAUUACGUCUAUUUUAAAACCAUGAAACCACUCACUCUUUUACAAUGUGCGCGUCGAUGUCUCGGCUGGACACUGUGCAAAUCGUUUGACUAUUUCCUCGAAGAUUUUAGGUGUACUUUGAAUAGGCUGAACAGUUCUGAUGCUGCGCCAUCGAGGCUAAUAUCUGAAGCAGGAACAGUUCACAGUUCCAUCUCGCUGUGGCCGAAGAGCUUUGCUGGUGCCUGUAAUGGACUUAACUGUCCUACCAACAGAUACUGCCAGGUCCGUAAUGAUGGUUCCACAAGGUGCAAAAGAUUAUAAAGAACAGACACGUCUAUCAAUAGUUUUAGUUUGUAUCGACAGAAAUUAUACAAAGGAAUUUCAAUUUGCGACUGUUGGAAUGGUGUGAAAAGCCUAGUAUUGAAGUCUUAAUACCGACGACGACGACGACGACGACGAUGAUGAUGAUGAUGAUACACUAAUAGGUUCAGUUAACCCUAUUGACGGUGAACCUAUAGACAUCAUGUAAAACCUGCAGAAGGAAUACUUCAGACAAGAAUAAUACAAACUUCAAAGACCAAAUUUAGGAUCAAGAUGAGGAUGUUUGUUGUACAAAAGCUCUCCUACAUGGAUAUGACCAAGUGUUCCAGAACAAGUCCUGGUUCGUGAUGGUGACGGAAUGCUCCAGCAAAUCAUUCAUACAGCUUACAUACAGUGUUCACAUGACUGAUGAUUUCCAACGGCCUUGUUUAUGGUAGACGUUCUACGUUCUUCAGUAAACCGUCUAGGUUGACAGCCUGAUAUAACGUCGAGGACGUUCUGGGCAGUUAUGAAGCCGUGGAUGCGAUUGGGGAUUUACGAUUCUGUCCGAGGUCUUGUAAUUAAGGGGUUCUAUGCAUGUAAGUAGUUUGGACAAACCCAAUGCCCAUUUUUCUGUGAUGUGAAAUUACAGUGUCAUUACUGAGCAAAUAUGUAUGGUGUUUUGUGUACAAUUCGUAUUAAAGAAAUACAAGCCA